CAGCGACACUCUGGAAAGCGGAUGCGGGUUCACGCCGGCAUCCCACCGAAGGGGUAAGCCUGCGGACGCACGUCCCGGGUCAAAGCUCUCAGGUCUGGCGACAGUGGGGGGUGA
rnacentral:ncRNA from 2 species